rnacentral:rRNA from 1 species
GAUGAACGCUGGCGGCGUGCCUAAUACAUGCAAGUCGAGCGAACGGACGAGAAUUUUUCUUCUCUUCUGUUAGCGGCGGAUGGGUGAGUAAUACGUGGCUAACUUACCUAUAAGACUGGGAUAACUUCGGGAAACCUGAUCUAACACCCGUUGAUAUUUUGAACCGCAUGGUUCAUCAGUGCAAGACGUUCUUGCUGUCCCUUAUAGAUGGAUCCUCGCUGCAUUAGCUAGUUGGUAAGGUAACGGCUUACCAAGGCAACGAUGCAUAGCCGACCUGAGAGGAUGAUCAGUCACACUGGAACUGAGACACGGUCCAGACUCCUACGGGAGGCAGCAGUAGGGAAUCUUCCGCAAUGGGCGAAAGCCUGACGGAGCAACGCCGCGUGAGUGAUGAAGGUCUUCGGAUCGUAAAGCACUGUUAGUAGGGAAGAAGAGAAGUGUGAGUAAAUGUGCACAUCUUGACGGUACCUAAACAGAAAGCCACGGCUAACUACGUG